AGCAGUCGCCGCGGUAAUACGUAGGGUGCGAGCGUUGUCCGGAAUUACUGGGCGUAAAGAGCUCGUAGGCGGUUUGUCGCGUCGUCUGUGAAAUUCUGCAGCUUAACUGUAGGCGUGCAGGCGAUACGGGCAGACUUGAGUACUACAGGGGAGACUGGAAUUCCUGGUGUAGCGGUGAAAUGCGCAGAUAUCAGGAGGAACACCGGUGGCGAAGGCGGGUCUCUGGGUAGUAACUGACGCUGAGGGGCGAAAGCGUGGGUAGCGAACAGGAUUAGAUACCCCGGUAGUCCCUGUCUCUUAUAC
rnacentral:rRNA from 1 species